GGCUCGGUAGGCAAACAGGCAAAGCCGCCUGUCUCAGGAACAGGUGCGUGAGGGUUCGACUCCCUCCCGAGCUACGC
rnacentral:tRNA from 6 species